AUGGCUAGCCGAUCAUCAUCCCUGCUGCAACUGCUGGUACUGGUAGUAGCGGCGGCGCAGUUCCUUGGGUCGGAAGCCGGUGGCAUUUCCAUCUAUUGGGGCCAGAAUGGCGGCGAGGGCACGCUGGCGGAGACAUGUGCUACCGGCAACUACAAAUUUGUAAACCUCGCCUUCCUUGCCGCCUUUGGCAAUGGCCAGCCGCCGGUCCUCAACCUGGCAGGCCACUGUGACCCGACCAACAGCGGCUGCGCGAACCUAAGCUCCGACAUCAAGUCAUGCCAGAGCCGCGGCGUCAAGGUGAUUCUCUCCAUCGGUGGCGGGGCAGGCAGCUACUACCUUUCCUCAACCCAGGACGCUAAGAACGUGGCGACAUACCUAUGGAACAACUUCUUGGGGGGUAAGUCAUCUUCGCGGCCUCUCGGCGAUGCAGUCCUCGAUGGCAUCGACUUCGAUAUUGAGGGCGGCACACCCCUUCAUUGGGACGAUCUUGCGAGGUUCCUCAAAGGAUACAGCAACUCUGGCAGGAGAGUCUACCUGACUGCCGCACCACAAUGCCCUUUCCCUGAUGCGUGGGUGGGUGGCGCCCUCAACACCGGCCUCUUUGACUAUGUGUGGGUGCAAUUCUACAACAACGCACCCUGUCAGUAUACCUCAGGUAGCACUACCAACCUAGCUGACGCAUGGAAGCAGUGGUUGACAGUUCCAGCAAAGCAGAUCUUCCUCGGCCUCCCGGCGUCACCUCAGGCUGCCGGAAGCGGGUUCAUCCCAGCUGAUGAUCUAAAGUCAGAUGUUCUCCCAUUGAUCAAAAGCACAGGGAAGUAUGGAGGGAUCAUGUUGUGGUCCAAAUACUAUGAUGACCAGGAUGGCUACAGCUCUUCGGUGAAGAGGGAUGUUUGA
rnacentral:rRNA from 1 species